rnacentral:rRNA from 1 species
UACGUAGGGUGCGAGCGUUAAUCGGAAUUACUGGGCGUAAAGCGUGCGCAGGCGGUUUUGUAAGCCAGGUGUGAAAUCCCCGGGCUUAACCUGGGAAUGGCAUUUGGGACUGCAAGGCUUGAGUGCGGCAGAGGAGACUGGAAUUCCUGGUGUAGCAGUGAGAUGCGUAGAUAUCAGGAGGAACACCGAUGGCGAAGGCAGGUCUCUGGGCUGACACUGACGCUCAUGCACGAAAGCGUGGGGAGCAAACAGG